rnacentral:misc_RNA from 1 species
AUUGUAAAUUGUGUUAAUGAGCAUGUUUUGUAAAUUGUAACUGUUACCAGUUAAAUUAUUUUUAAUUCAAAAAUGUCUAUGUCCAUUGCACAAAUUUGGAAGAAAAAAAAAUUAACUCAGAAUCAAUUAUUUUUGUUUUUUGAAUACCAAAGCUGUAUGCCAUUGAUAUACUUAUGUUAUUGAUUAUUAAUGAUAUGAAUUGCAUAGAGGAGCUGUUAGUUUUGUACAAUUAGCAGGCUUUGGUGUGUAUCCAUACAAUGUGUUUAUAAAUUAGAGUGUUAAUGACUUGAAUUAAACCAGUACUAGUUUAUCAUCAAGAACUUC